UACCUCUGAAGGAAGCACCGGCUAACUCCGUGCCAGCAGCCGCGGUAAUACGGAGGGUGCAAGCGUUGUUCGGAAUUAUUGGGCGUAAAGCGCGUGUAGGCGGUCUUUUAAGUCUGAUGUGAAAGCCCCGGGCUCAACCUGGGAAGUGCAUUGGAAACUGGGAGGCUUGAGUACGGGAGAGGAGAGUGGAAUUCCUAGUGUAGGAGUGAAAUCCGUAGAUAUUAGGAGGAACACCGGUGGCGAAGGCGGCUCUCUGGACCGAUACUGACGCUGAGACGCGAAAGCGUGGGUAGCAAACAGGAUUAGAUACCCUGGUAGUCCACGCCGUAAACGAUGAGUACUAGGUGUUGCGGGUAUUGACCCCUGCAGUGCCGUAGCUAACGCAUUAAGUACUCCGCCUGGGAAGUACGGUCGCAAGACUAAAACUCAAAUG
rnacentral:rRNA from 1 species